rnacentral:rRNA from 1 species
AGCUCCAAGAAUAAGCGGAGGAGGUGGCCCGGGUCGGCAUCGACACCGUCUGGCGCAGGCCACGGGCCCUCUUCCAAGUGCGUCUGCGGGCCGGCCACCCACGCCGGGUCCUUUAAGUGCCGCUUCCACCGCACCAACUCCCAUGGUCAGGGAAGCCACCCUUCUUCGCCCCCUUCACCGGUCGCGGCCAACACGGUGCCGCGGCACCCGACGUUGCCGUCCUCGUCCUCCGGCAUCGUCGCGACCCAGUGA